rnacentral:sRNA from 1 species
AUUUAAUAUAAAUAUAAAUAGAUACAUUUAAAUAAUAUGCUUAUACUUUUUUCUUUAUUACAUAAUGGGCUGUCUUCUUCGUUUUCAUAAUUAACUGGGGUAUAUUUUUACAUUUUAGAAUAAAUAUGACAUUUUGAAUAAUAGAAUAUUUUGAAUUUUAAAUAAAUAACAAUUUAGCUAUGAGAAAAUAAUAUAAAAUAGACAGCUUUUAAAAUUUGACUUCAAGGUGCAUGCUUAGGUGCCUAGAAGUAAAUUGGCAUAAUGUCUGUACCUUACUUGCGAAUGCUUCAACAGUGUUAACAAUUAUUGAAUUUAGGUGGUAGAGAUAAGAGAAUCCAUUAUGCUAUUGCACAACUUUUCAUAAUAAAACACUAUUAUGAAGAUAGUUUUUUAUAAUAAAACACUGUAAAAAACAUAAUUUGCUGUACUAAGUAAUUUAUUCCUUUUAAAAUUCUAGGAAGGUUAGAAUGCAUGUUUAUAACAUCAAUAAAAUUACAAGGAUUUACAAUGUAGUUGGAACUAUCAGAGGAUCUGUGGAACCUGGUGAGUCACAUAAUUUUUUAAAACAUUUUGUUUUUACAAAAAUUAAAGGGUAAGUAAAGAUAAAUUGUAGUCAACAAUUGAAGUGGGGUUUUUUGGCUGAUUUGAAACUACUAAAUUUUGAGGAAAACUGUACAAAUCUAAAAGAAGAUUUUACUUUAUAGUGUUGUCUUCUAUAGAGGAAACUCAAGCAAGAGGAUGUUUAUUUUAAAAACAUAAAUUACAAAUAUUUAUAAUGUAUUCAAAGUUGUAGGUUUUUUGAACAUAUUAUUUUCCAGACAGGUAUGUUAUUCUGGGAGGUCACCGGGACUCCUGGGUAUUUGGAGCUAUUGACCCAACCAGUGGGGUUGCUGUUUUGCAAGAAAUUGCCCGGAGUUUUGGAAAACUGAUGAGUAAAGGCUGGAGACCUAGAAGAACUAUCAUUUUUGCCAGCUGGGAUGCAGAAGAAUUUGGACUUCUGGGUUCCACAGAAUGGGCUGAGGAGAAUGUCAAAAUACUCCAGGAGAGAAGCAUUGCUUAUAUCAACUCGGAUUCAUCUAUAGAAGGUAAAUUUUAUUUCAAUUUGAAGUGAAAUUUUCAGAAAGGAAAUUUUACUUCAAGUAACUUUUAUUAUGGAGUAGAAUACCAUCUAUUAAGACUAUAAAUUCUAGCUUAUUAAGCGCCUCAGAUAUCCCCUUCCUAUGAGAUGCCUCAGUAAUACCUUUAUUUUUCAUUUUGCCACAGAGAAAAUAACUAGGAUUCAUAUGAAUUGAUAUGAUUCAUAACUAAGCUAUUGCUUUUAAUUUCUUUGAUAUAUUUACUAUUUGUUUAUAUUACUACUUAAAACUCUAGUAUUAACCACAUAUUUUCUCGAUAAAGAUAUUAAUGGAAUUUGGCUAAAACAGUUCAGAAGAAAGGUUUAGCAGACUAUUCUGUGUAGAAAUAUUUCCUGUAUUUGUUGUAACAAAUUUGAAGUAAGUGUACUCACUUACUCCUUUGGAACUACAAACUCCUAUUGAAUCUAGCUCAGGAUCACCUGAGCCCAGGAGUGUAAGCCAUAGAGAGACCCUGACUCUCAAAAAAAAAAAAAAAAAAAAAGAAAGAAAAAAAAGAAAAAAAAACUGAUCUGGAUUGUCUACGCCAACAGGACUUGAUUUCUGAUUAGCACUACUAUGGAGACAGUAUGAUUCAGAAAAUGAAGAGAUUUGUGUCUCUAGGCUUUCAUUGCAUUGUGAUUAUUUCUAAAUAAACGUUAGAACAUAA